rnacentral:rRNA from 1 species
GAUGAACGCUGGCGGCGUGCCUAAUACAUGCAAGUCGAGCGAACGGACGAGAAGCUUGCUUCUCUGAUGUUAGCGGCGGACGGGUGAGUAACACGUGGAUAACCUACCUAUAAGACUGGGAUAACUUCGGGAAACCGGAGCUAAUACCGGAUAAUAUUUUGAACCGCAUGAUUCAAAAGUGAAAGACGGUCUUGCUGUCACUUAUAGAUGGAUCCGCGCUGCAUUAGCUAGUUGGUAAGGUAACGGCUUACCAAGGCAACGAUGCAUAGCCGACCUGAGAGGGUGAUCCGCCACACUGGAACUGAGACACGGUCCAGACUCCUACGGGAGGCAGCAGUAGGGAAUCUUCCGCAAUGGGCGAAAGCCUGACGGAGCAACGCCGCGUGAGUGAUGAAGGUCUUCGGAUCGUAAAACUCUGUUAUUAGGGAAGAACAUAUGUGUAAGUAACUGUGCACAUCUUGACGGUACCUAAUCAGAAAGCCACGGCUAACUACGUG